rnacentral:rRNA from 1 species
UAUAUACUGUCUCAUAUAUAUUUUAUGAAUUUAAAAUUUUAAUAAAAAUGUUAAAAUUUAUUUAUGGGACGAUAAGACCCUAUAGAAUUUUAUAUUAAUUUAUUUAUUUAAUUAAUAUAUAAUUUAAAUUAAUAUUUAAUUGGGAGGAUUAUUAAAUUUAAAUAACUUUAAUUUAUAAAAACUUAAAUUAAAGAAAAUAUUAUGAUCUUGAAUUUUAAAUUAAUAGAUUAAAUUACCUUAGGGAUAACAGCGUAAUAUUUUUUUAUAGAUCUUAUAGAAAAAAAUGAUUGCGACCUCGAUGUUGAAUUAAGA